GGGACUGAUCCUAUCUGAUCACACUUACUGAGAUGUUUGAUGCGACCGGCCAGCCCCAGAUCUGUCAAGGGCAGAAGUGAAGGACACAACCUGGAAUGAGAAGCAUCGCAACCUGUAUUGCCAUAUAUAGGGGCCCUGAGGCCCGGGGGAACAGUAUUCUAGACGGACAGAGAGAAGAGAGAUGAAGCUACUAAAUAUCCUCUGCUUCUGCCUGGCUGUCCUCGCCUCCACUUGGGUACGAUAAUAUAUGUUUUUAUUAUUUAUUAAAUAAUUAUUUUAAUUUAAGAGGUUUAAUAAUACUUUAUUUAAUAAUAAUAUAUUGGAUUUAAUAUAUUUAUUUUAUUUUUAAAAUUUUUAAUUUUUUUGGUUCAUUAUUUAUUAAAUAAUUUUUUAAUGUAAGAGGUUUAAUAAUAUUUUAUUUAAUAAUAAUUUAUUGGAUAUCAUUUUUUUUAAAUGUUUNNNNNNNNNNGGACUGAUCCUAUCUGAUCACACUUACUGAGAUGUUUGAUGCGACCGGCCAGCCCCAGAUCUGUCAAGGGCAGAAGUGAAGGACACAACCUGGAAUGAGAAGCAUCGCAACCUGUGAGUCAAUCAAUCCGUUACGAAACCCCAGGAGGUUUCUCGGAUUGACCGCUCGCUAGACAAACAGUGACUAAUGUAGGCCGUAUCCCAAAUGGCUCCCUAUAUAGUGCACUACUUUAGACCAGAGACCUAUGGAACCCUAUUCCCUACAUAGUGCACUACUUUAGACCAGGGCCCUAUGGGUGUCCCUAUGGGCCCCAGAUAUAAGUAGUGCACCAUAUAGGGAAUAGGGUGCCAUUUGGACCUAACCGAGGGUUUGUCAUCAGGUAUUGCCAUAUAUAGGGGCCCUGAGGCCCGGGGGAACAGUAUUCUAGACGGACAGAGAGAAGAGAGAUGAAGCUACUAAAUAUCCUCUGCUUCUGCCUGGCUGUCCUCGCCUCCACUUGGGUACGAUAAUAUAUGUUUUUAUUAUUUAUUAAAUAAUUAUUUUAAUUUAAGAGGUUUAAUAAUACUUUAUUUAAUAAUAAUAUAUUGGAUUUAAUAUAUUUAUUUUAUUUUUAAAAUUUUUAAUUUUUUUGGUUCAUUAUUUAUUAAAUAAUUUUUUAAUGUAAGAGGUUUAAUAAUAUUUUAUUUAAUAAUAAUUUAUUGGAUAUCAUUUUUUUUAAAUGUUUAUGUUCAUUAUUUAUUAAAUAAUUUUUUACAUUUAAAUAGGUUUAAUAAUAUUUUAUUUCAUAAUAAUAAUAAUAAUAAUAAUUUUUGGGGAUUUAUA
rnacentral:lncRNA from 13 species